rnacentral:rRNA from 1 species
UACGAAGGGGGCUAGCGUUGCUCGGAAUCACUGGGCGUAAAGCGCACGUAGGCGGCUUUCUAAGUCAGGGGUGAAAUCCCAGAGCUCAACUCUGGAACUGCCUUUGAUGCUGGGUAUCUUGAGUAUGGAAGAGGUAAGUGGAAUUGCGAGUGUAGAGGUGAAAUUCGUAGAUAUUCGCAGGAACACCAGUGGCGAAGGCGGCUUACUGGUCCAUAACUGACGCUGAGGUGCGAAAGCGUGGGGAGCAAACAGG